AAUCGGUGCCCAGGAGUGAGAAGGCAUUUAAUCUUGAAAUGGAGCGGUUGAAGGGAAUUAUCUCUCCCUGUAUAUCUGGAGUGGGCCGCUCUUUCUCCGUGUGGUGACUGGUGAGAGGGAGAGGGGGCGAGGAUUUUCUUGGGCUGUUAAUGGUGGGUGGAUUGCGCGCUCUUGAUCACUCCCUCUUUUUCGUCUCUUUCCUCAAACCCUGGCUCUCACUAUACAUUACCCUCAAUGCCUUGCCAAUUCUUGGCCUCAAUUCCUCUCUCUUUUUUGUUGCUUUCAUUAGAUACCCUUUUCAGUUUUCAUCCACCAUGUUGAAUCUGCUCUUUCGAGUUAUCCUUCUGUCAUUUUGCGAAUGCGCCGGAAAGAAAGAAGAUGGGUGCGCAAGGGAAGGUUCCUUCACUGGCGGCAUCUAUGCAGGGAUUACAAUUAUACUGCUGUUGUAGUAGAAUAAAAAGGAGGCCUGUGAUGGUGCAUUUACAACCUUCAGAAAUUGUAAUUUGUAUCUCAAGCAAUUGAUUGACACAUGGAUCCAUCCCACCAGAAUUUGGGAAUGUUAUUAGUGUUAAAGUCGUUGACCUUGUAGACAAGGAUCCAGAAGUGGUAAUCCGAUCUAGAAUUAGCGAGUUGCAGAAUAUAUCUUCCUUGUAAGAGUAUUUACACCAUAAUUGCAGGUGCAAAUGGGUACAUCAUAAACUGCAAAGUUGUGCAACUACUUCAUGCACCAUCAUGUAGCAACGCCAUCCAUCAUGAGGGCAUAAAGAAAGACCAAGUUUCUAUUUAUAUUACCUCAUUGUUUGUUUGGAAG